rnacentral:rRNA from 1 species
AGCAGCCGCGGUAAUUCCAGCUCCAAUAGCGUAUAUUAAAGUUGUUGCAGUUAAAAAGCUCGUAGUUGAAUUUCGGGAUUAGUACGUUGGUCGUGCCUUAGGUACGUACUGGUGUUACUGGUUCCUACCUUCUGACGAACCAUCAUGUCAUUAAUUUGGUGUGGCGGGGAAUCAGGACUGUUACUUUGAAAAAAUUAGAGUGUUUAAAGCAGGCUCGCGCUUGAAUACAUUAGCAUGGAAUAAUGAAAUAGGACGUUGACCCUAUUUUGUUGGUUUCUAGGAUUGACGUAAUGAUUAAUAGGGAUAGUUGGGGGCAUUAGUAUUCAAUUGUCAGAGGUGAAAUUCUUGGAUUUAUUGAAGACUAACUACUGCGAAAGCAUUUGCCAAGGAUGUUUUCAUUAAUCAAGAACGAAAGUUAGGGAUCGAAGACGAUCAGAUACCGUCGUAGUCUUAACCAUAAACUAUGCCGACUAGGGAUCGGAUGAUGUUAAUUUUUAAUGUACUCAUUCGGCGCCUUACG